UUGUAUUGCAGCAAAAAAAUGAGAUAUUUUGUACUCAAUUACAAUAAAAAUGACUUGCAUAAUCGGGAAACGUACAAAAAACCGCAUAUAAGACUUUUAAAUAGUUUUUUGAUUCUUCAAAUAGUCUUAUUCAAAACCAGAAAUUUAGGAAAUUCAUCAAGACGAUGAAGUUAUAGUUGCCAGGUUCAGCCGUUUUCGUGCUCGACAAAUAAUAUUAGUGGAAUUACAUUCAAUAAGAUUGGGUUACAGAAUAAUGAGAAAACUGCUAAUAUGACAUUAUCUUCAACUAAAUUAUUCUUCAUUUUCUGUCAAUAUCUUUUUAAAAAGUGAUUUUCACUUGUGAGGGCAAAAUAAGUAACUGGGGGACUAAUAUGGGGGCUGGGGCCCCCAUUUCUAUAUGUAAAAACCUGAAACAGAGCCCACUCCGGUCAGCGUAUACUAUAAACAGUGUAUACUACUGAUCAAUGUGGAAAUAUAAAAGUUGAAAAUACAAAAGUUGAAAAUAUGGAAGUUGAAAAUAUGGAAGUUGAAAAUGCAAAAGUUGAAAAUGUAAAAGUUGAAAAUGUAAAAGUUGAAAAUAUAAAAGUUGAAAAUGUAAAAGUUGAAAAUGUAAAAGUUGAAAAUGUAAAAGUUGAAAAUGUAAAAGUUGAAAAUGUAAAAGUUGAAAAUGUAAAAGUUGAAAAUGUAAAAGUUGAAAAUGUAAAAGUUGAAAAUGCAAAAGUUGAAAAUGCAAAAGUUGAAAAUGCAAAAGUUGAAAAUGUAAAAGUUGAAAAUGCAAAA
rnacentral:lncRNA from 1 species